AAACAGGGCUACGUUUUGAUGUGAUCGGCGAAGCGCUGGGCUGUUUUCCCUGACGAUCGCCCCGAUUUGGCCGGCCGGCGGCGCCGCGUGAUCCUGACGCGCCAAAUUUUGGGCUGCGCGCCCCUCAGAAACGGAGGAUAUGUGACUGAAGCGGCACAAGAAAACCUGUUUCGACGCUAUGGAUGAAGAAUUUCAAGCCAGGUUCCUAACGACUGGGCGAGGUUGUCGCAGUUGGUACUGAGGUUCAGUCGCAGAAACAGUGACACUUACCUCCUUCCAUCUUGUUGCAGGUGGAAUGUAGAUUGUACAAACUCCCAGAUGUAGCUGAUAUUAGACCGGAGAGCGGAGCGGAGAUAUUGAAUGGUAGUGGUGCAGCCAGUUCCAUUAGCAUUAAGUUUGUUACAGAAUACUGUUGCUACCACAGAAAAUAAUAAGUAAGACUGUUGUUUUUGUAAAAAGUUGUUUACAAAUGCAUUAUUAGUAUUGAUUAAAUAAGGAGAAGUACAUGUACAGUGUGUACCUGCACUACGGUACAUCAAAGAAAUCUAUGUCGAUUGUAUGUAUCCUGAAGAUAGCCUUUGACCUUGGAAAAUGUUGAACUUAUC